rnacentral:lncRNA from 1 species
GAAGAUCAUUGAGAGUACUAGGCUAUUGCAACAAUAUCAGCUGCUGUAUAACAAUGCAUGUUCUGUCAGAUUAAUCUACCUUCAACAAAUUGGUCAAUUACCUAGAGUACCGUGGAAAAAUUUAACCAUGUAGAAUGCUGCUCGACCUAAAGCACUCUUCAACCUCUGGCUGAUGCUCCAAGACAGACUCCCUACUAAAGAAAGGUUGAUCAAAUGGCACUUGAUAGUUGAUGCUAAUUGUGUUAUGUGUCAACACACAAUGGAGACUAGAGAUCAUUUGUUCCUGUCCUGCUCAUUCGCUGAACAACUGAGAUAUCACAUAUUGCAAUGGCUUGGAAUAUCUCAACCUGCUGGACAGUCUUGGCCACAAUAUGUAAACUGGAUCACUGAGAAAUCCAAAGGCAAAUCUCCACAAGCUCACAUGUUCAAAAUGGUAUUUGCAGAGAUGUGUUACGCCCUGUGGUUGGAAAGGAAUGCGCGAAUAUUUAGAAACACUUCCUGUCCUAGUGAAGUAUUACUUAGGAACAUUGCUUAUAUUUGUAACGUUAGAGCAACCCCUAGAGUUAGGAUAUACCUUCAACAAUAUUUUUUGUAACUUUUGAACUUUAGGUAUAGUCAAGUUAGUCAACUUUACUUGAAUUUUUUGAUAGGCAGUUUGGGUACAUAAGUGACCUAUGGAAUUGUAAGAGAACACUUUGGUGAUUAAUAUAAAUUUUAAUUACCAAAAAAAAAA